rnacentral:rRNA from 1 species
GACGGAAGGUGCAAGCGUUGCUCGGAAUCACUGGGCGUAAAGGGUGCGUAGGCGGCCGUGCAAGUCUGGCGUGAAAGCCCCGGGCUCAGCCCGGGAAGUGCGCUCGAAACUGCGCGGCUCGAGUGCCGGAGGGGAGAGUGGAAUUCCUGGUGUAGCGGUGAAAUGCGUAGAUAUCAGGAGGAAUACCGGUGGCGAAAGCGGCUUUCUGGUCCGAUACUGACGCUGAGGUGCGAAAGCGUGGGGAGCGAUCCGG